rnacentral:rRNA from 1 species
UACGUAGGUGGCGAGCGUUGUCCGGAUUUACUGGGCGUAAAGGAUGCGUAGGCGGAUUUUUAAGUGAGAUGUGAAAUACCCGGGCUUAACUUGGGUGCUGCAUUUCAAACUGGAAGUCUAGAGUGCGGGAGAGGAGAGUGGAAUUCCUAGUGUAGCGGUGAAAUGCGUAGAGAUUAGGAAGAACACCAGUGGCGAAGGCGACUCUCUGGACCGUAACUGACGCUGAGGCAUGAAAGCGUGGGUAGCAAACAGGAUUAGAUACCCUGGUAGUCCACGCCGUAAACGAUGAGUACUAGGUGUAGGAGGUAUCGACCCCUUCUGUGCCGCAGUUAACACAAUAAGUACUCCGCCUGGGAAGUACGAUCGCAAGAUUAAA